rnacentral:rRNA from 1 species
AUGGACUGGCGGCGGUCAGGGAGCCCGACAUACGGCCGGCGGCGCUCGCCGGCGGGGAUGUACUCCGCCCCGGCGUCCCCGGCACAUCCCCAGGGUCCAGCCACGUCGUCACCGGUACACCCUCUGGCGGCGCGGUCCAAGGCGCGCGCCGCGGCGGCGCUGGCGCAUGUCAUGGCGCGCCCAGGAGCGCGAGUCGCCGCCGCAGACUCCGACUCCGACGAGAACGGGUACGGAGACAACGACGGCGGCACCGACGGGCGUUACGGCGGCGGCCGGAGCCCCCUGCACGGGUACGUUGCAAAGAGCGCCGGCGGCGUCAAGGACAAGUUCUUCGGGAUGGCGUUGCCCAAGGACCUCAUCGAAAACGGAGGCGACGCGGCCAAUGUGGGCAAGGACGAUGUUCCUUUGGUACAGGUGGGGGCUAUUCAUUUUGAUUUUCUCUCGGAUUAG